UGGAUCUGUGGUGACCACUGGAACUUUAGGAGUUGUGUGGAUCAUGACUACAAGUCUGGGAUUCUAAGGUCCAC
ensembl:snoRNA Gm25357 small nucleolar RNA SNORD113/SNORD114 family